rnacentral:rRNA from 1 species
UACGUAGGCAGCGAGCGUUGUUCGGAAUUACUGGGCGUAAAGAGUGUGUAGGUGGUGUCGUAAGUUUGGUGUGAAAUCUCCCGGCUUAACUGGGAGGGUGCGCCGAAGACUGCGAUGCUGGAGUAUGGGAGAGGAAAGCGGAAUUCCUGGUGUAGCGGUGAAAUGCGUAGAUAUCGUAAGGAAGACCAGUGGCGAAGGCGGGUCUCUGGACAGUUCCUGACGCUGAGGCACGAAGGCCAGGGGAGCAAACGGG